GCUUUCUAAAUUUAGCUAUAUUGUGAGAGAUAGACCUUUCAGCUGUUCGGCAUUCCGAGGCAUGCUAUUGACAAGGGUUGAUUUGGUUCUGUCCUACAGCUGCGGUCAAUCCUUUGAUAGCUCGGAAGAGUUUGGUAAAAUCGAUCCUGGUUGGAUGGAUGUAGGCCUCGGAUCUUUCGGUACAUUCUACGGAAGGUCUCCCUCGCAUCAUUCCUAAAAAAAAAAAAGACACAAGUUGGUGAUCUAGUUUGAAAA
rnacentral:lncRNA from 1 species